GUCAGCUCCUAUUAUUCUGACUCUUCUGCCUUACAGAAGAGGAAGAAACCCCUUUGUACAAAGAGACAGUUGUUUUAAGCCAACAGGGAGCACACACCACCAUACCACAAGCCUAGGUGAGCGUCUGCCAAUGCCAAAGUAGCUGAUGUCAUAACAGGGAAUGAUCCACUCAAACUAGGAUCAUGUUGCUGGCAAGAAACUUCAACCAAAUAGGGCAGGAUUGACCAGAAGCCUCUCCCUGACUUCCUGAGGGAUUUCAUAUGCAGAGGAAAAACACUAGGAAAUACACUAGGAGCACUUAAUGCAUCUUUGGCUAUCCUGUUCUGCUAAAUUGAAUGCAGAAAGCAGCCACCAUUCACCAGAGAUUCUCAGUGCUUUCUUUCAGAGCCUGAGGCAUGGAUGCCACCUCUGAAUGGUGAUGGUGAAUCUGCAACAGCCUGAGGAGCCAAACCUCAAAUGCAAAGGCAUCAGUAUUUAGACCAGGACAGAGAAGGCAUUCCCAAGUCACACUCUGAAAACAGUUUUACUUCUCCUUGAAAACUUCCACAGGACAUGGUCAUUGCCCAGUCAAUAUCCAAGUUAUCCUGUUUAAUAAAGAAAAUAACUUCCUUUA